rnacentral:rRNA from 1 species
CCUACGGGGGGCAGCAGUGGGGAAUAUUGGACAAUGGGGGGAACCCUGAUCCAGCCAUGCCGCGUGUGUGAAGAAGGCCCUCGGGUUGUAAAGCACUUUCAGUGAGGAAGAACGCCUGGUGGUUAAUACCCAUCAGGAAAGACAUCACUCACAGAAGAAGCACCGGCUAACUCCGUGCCAGCAGCCGCGGUAAUACGGAGGGUGCGAGCGUUAAUCUGAAUUACUGGGCGUAAAGCGCGCGUAGGUGGCUUGAUAAGCCGGUUGUGAAAGCCCCGGGCUCAACCUGGGAACGGCAUCCGGAACUGUCAAGCUAGAGUGCAGGAGAGGAAGGUAGAAUUCCCGGUGUAGCGGUGAAAUGCGUAGAGAUCGGGAGGAAUACCAGUGGCGAAGGCGGCCUUCUGGACUGACACUGACACUGAGGUGCGAAAGCGUGGGUAGCAAACAGGAUUAGAUACCCCGGUAGUU